CUUAACGAGGAAACACAUUACGGAAGUUGGGAUUUGUUAUUUGCAGUUACUUUUGUGAAUGGAUGAUAUUUCUUCAUAAUUUUGCAUUGAUUCUUUGCAUCAUAGAGGAAUUCAUUUGUUACCAGCAAGGAGUGGGACCAUUACUCCUGGCGUUCCCAGAUGGAACAGACACCAAGCCUGGCUUUGCCACUGAACACAAUACAAAACUGAUAAUGCAGGUCAGUUAUUAGGAAUAUGCUUCCCAACUGUAGAAAUCAACAUAAGAUCCCAAUUUUAAAUAACAGGUAGAAUAG
rnacentral:lncRNA from 1 species